rnacentral:rRNA from 2 species
AUAACGGUCAUGCCGUUGGCAUGUGCUGUUAUAAUUGAUUUCUCACCUUCUAAGGAACCGUAAUGCCAUUAAUUUGGUGUCACGGGGAAUUAGGACUGUUGCCUUGAAAAAAUUAGAGUGUUUAAAGCAGGCUCACGCUUGAAUACAUUAGCAUGGAAUAAUGAAAUAGGACAUCCGAUUCUAUUUUGUUGGUUUCUAGGAUCGAUGUAAUGAUUAAUAGGGAUAUUGGGGGCAUUAGUAUUCAAUUGUCAGAGGUGAAAUUCUUGGAUUUAUUGAAGACUAACUACUGCGAAAGCAUUUACCAAGGAUGUUUUCAUUAAUCAAGAACGAAAGUUAGGGGAUCGAAGACGAUCAGAUACCGUCGUAGUCUUAACCAUAAACUAUGCCGACUAGGGAUCGGAUGAUGUUAAUUUUUAAUGACUCAUUCGGCGCCUUACGGGAAAC